rnacentral:rRNA from 1 species
GAGUUUGAUCAUGGCUCAGGAUGAACGCUAGCGGCAGGCUUAACACAUGCAAGUCGAGGGGUAUUCUAGCAAUAGGAGAGACCGGCGCACGGGUGCGUAACGCGUAUGCAAUCUACCUUUCACAGAGGGAUAGCCCAGAGAAAUUUGGAUUAAUACCUCAUAGUAUAAUGACUCGGCAUCGAGAUAUUAUUAAAGUCACAACGGUGAAAGAUGAGCAUGCGUCCCAUUAGCUAGUUGGUAAGGUAACGGCUUACCAAGGCGACGAUGGGUAGGGGUCCUGAGAGGGAGAUCCCCCACACUGGUACUGAGACACGGACCAGACUCCUACGGGAGGCAGCAGUGAGGAAUAUUGGACAAUGGGCGCAAUCCUGAUCCAUCCAUGCUCGUGCAGGAUGACGGUCCUAUGGAUUGUAUACUGCUUUUUGCUCAGGAAGAAACACCCCCUCGUGAGGGGGC